UACGGAGGGGGCUAGCGUUGUUCGGAAUUACUGGGCGUAAAGCGCACGUAGGCGGACUGGAAAGUCAGGGGUGAAAUCCCGGGGCUCAACCCCGGAACUGCCUUUGAAACUCCCGGUCUUGAGGUCGAGAGAGGUGAGUGGAAUUCCGAGUGUAGAGGUGAAAUUCGUAGAUAUUGGGAAGAACACCGGUGGCGAAGGCGGCGCCCUGGUCCGGUACUGACGCUGAGGCGCGAAAGCGUGGGGAGCAAACAGG
rnacentral:rRNA from 1 species